UGAGGCACGCCCAUAGCCCCGCCCAUGUCCCCGCGGCCUGGGCGCGCUGUGGGGCCCGGCUUUGGGGAGAAUUUACCCAAAAUCGGGUGCGCGGGGACGGGGCUUGCCAGAGUCUCGCCAGCCUCUCCACCAAGGAGUGUGGUCUGCGCCCUGCCCGGCAGCACAGUCCUGUGAGAGGAUCGCGUCUCCGUGUGCGGAGCGGCCAGAGCCACCGCGGGUCUGGGAAGAAGUGAACAAAACCAGCUCACAAAUAGGAAGGUGUUAUCUUCUGACAGAGAGCAAGUGGAACCUGACAUAGCUGUGACACCUGGUACUAGCCUUCUUUGCUCUGAUCUUAUCAUGGCACCUUUCAAAACAAAAAUGUUUUAAAUGCUUUAAAUGGAUGUUAUGAAACCUAGUCAAAUAUAUCAGAUAAUUGUUGUAAAACAUAUGCUGUUAAGAUGAUUAAAAGAUGAGCUGGAUGUUAUGAAACCUAGUCAAAUAUAUCAGAUAAUUGUUGUAAAACAUAUGCUGUUAAGAUGAUUAAAAGAUGAGCUGGAACUGCAGAACAUUA